rnacentral:rRNA from 1 species
AACUUUCAACAACGGAUCUCUUGGUUCUCGCAUCGAUGAAGAGCGCAGCGAAAUGCGAUACCUAGUGUGAAUUGCAGCCAUCGUGAAUCAUCGAGUUCUUGAACGCACAUUGCGCCCUCCGGCAUUCCGGGGGGCAUGCCUGUUUGAGCGU